rnacentral:rRNA from 1 species
UUAGAGUUUGAUCCUGGCUCAGGACGAACGCUGGCGGCGCGCUUAACACAUGCAAGUCGAGCGAGAACCGGUCCUUCGGGACCGGGGAAAGCGGCGAACGGGUGAGUAACACGUGGGUAAUCAACCCCAGGCACUGGGAUAGCCCGAGGAAACUCGGAUUAAUACCGGAUGGCCCAGCAGUCUUUCGGGACGGUUGGAAAAGAUAGCUUCGGCCUUCGACCAAGGACGGGCCCGCGGCGGAUUAGCUUGUUGGUGAGGUAACGGCCCACCAAGGCGACGAUCCGUAGCUGGUCUGAGAGGACGAUCAGCCACACUGGGACUGAGACACGGCCCAGACUCCUACGGGAGGCAGCAGUGGGGAAUCUUGCGCAAUGGGCGAAAGCCUGACGCAGCGACGCCGCGUGGGGGAAGAAGGCUUUCGGGUUGUAAACCCCUUUCAGGAGAGACGAAGCUACUCGGGUGAAUAGCCCAGAGGGUGACGGUAUCUCCAGAAGAAGCCCCGGCUAACUACGUGCCAGCAGCCGCGGUA